UCGAACUCACGAACCGAACCGUGAGAUCAUGACCUGAGCCCAAGUCGGAGGCUUAACCGACUGAGCCACCCGGGUGCCCCUCCCUUUUCAUUUUGAACACCGGCAAGCAAACAGACGAAAUCGAGAGGACAGUCUAAGGCAGCGCAGGUGCCCACCCCCCGGGGCUAGCGGCGGCCUCCAGCUUGCCUUGUUUGCUUGUUUCUCUCUUUCUCGGUUUCUCCCUCCCUUUGCCCUUCUAUCCUUCGCUCCCUGCUUUUCUCGCUCUCUCGCUCUCUCUUUCUCUCUCUCCUUUUCCCUUUCCUUUGUUUUUGUUGAAAUAGUUUACAGGAAGCGUGCAUACCAUUUUCUCCCUACGUGCUUCAAGAAGGAAGGACAUUUCCUCCCAUGACCCAGGGCCGUUAUCCAUCCAACCCACGCCCGGCGCGGGCUCCUGCUGUCGUCUGAGAGCCGCUGCACAGUCACCCUCCAGGCCCCCACUGCCUUUGACUCCUCUUUCCUUCACGCCAGCAUCUCAUCAAGGACUUCGUUACACUUGACCGUUGGCCGUCUGGUUAUCCUUUCAUCUGAAGCAGCCUCUCUCCCCCGCCUCGUCUUUUCCCCCUGGCGCCGAGACACGCAGGAGACCGGGAACAGCCCACCUUCUAGAUUGGGCCGGUUGCUCCCUUGUAGCUAGUGUCUUUAAGUGGUCCCUCUGUCCCCAGUAUCCUUUAUAAAACGGGUGUGGGGGCACAAGGCUGCACUAGAAUUGGGCCCAGCUUUGGCAAGAGCCUUGUGCCCUCCCUGGGGUGGCAUCGUCACAGGAGGCGUGUCCGACCUGUGUCCAGCAGCCGUUCGCUUAGCUUUCUGUCUCGGGACCAGCGGUAAGCAGGGGAAGACCUCUUGACAUCGUGCGGCUAUCCACGCCUCCUAGGCCUGUCACCCGGCGGUUUUCGCGUCCACUCCGCCUUAAGGGAUUCUUUCCGUCUGAUUAAUGUAAAUGUCUUCAUCAGACACAUGAGUUUAUUUCUUCUGGGCUAGUGUUGGGUGACAGCUCGUCACUGGCGAUAAGGGACCUUGCGGCAAUUUAAAUGCUCCGGGACCCCGUCCCCCCAUCCUCUCUCCUGUAGCAUGAAUAAGCUGGGGUCACCCACGCAGCAAAAGCAUCCUGGGCCCGCUCCCCACCAGCCACUGCCUGGCUCUUCCGCUUCCCCACCGGGGAAUUGCACAUUCUGGCCUCCAGCUGGGUGCGGAGCACAUCCUCGGAGCAAACUUUCUUUGGCCCCGCCGUUUCCUGGCACUGAGAGCCGAUGCGGAGGAAUCAGACACUGCCUGCUCUGUCCCUGACAGACUCUUCCUGCCCUUGGUGUGGAGUCGUAUGUGUGUGUUGGGAGUUUUUCUGUAAGGACCCUGACCUGAGAGGAAAAGGCGUCAGCAGUGGAGCUUCCGGGGAUGGCUGGAAAGUCGGGGUGCAGGGGUCCUGCCCCCAUGGGAAGAAAGGAAUGAGAAAGAGGAAGCCAAGGCUCGCCGGAGGUGGGCAGGACCCCCUGUCUGGCGGCCCACCGCCCAGGUGAGGGGAGAGGGCGGCAGCUCGGUCUGGGAAAGUGUUAUGGGUUGGACUGUGUCCCCCAAGAAAGAUGUGUUCGAGUCUUGCCCGCCAGCAGCUGUGACUGGGACCUAACCUGGACGAGGUGGUGCUGGACUAGGGCGGGCCUCAUCUCGCACUUGGCUUUUGCCAGUCCCCUUAGCUUGUUUGUACCCCCGCGAUGGCAGCCAUUCUCUUGAAGGCCGGACCCAAGGUGAGCGGGGCUCCCUGACCGUCUCCGUCCGCCCCCUCAUCAUGCCCCAGCCUCACAGCUCUGGCGACCCCGAGUCUCCCCUUAGCUGCUGAGUUCUCUGAGUCCCCACCCCCACCCCCACCCCCACCCCAUGUUUGGUUGCCUGCAGCCCUGGGAAUUUCUCACUUUAGGUGCCGGUAUCGUUUGAAGACGUGCCCGUGUACUUCAUCAAGACAGGAUGGAAGCUUCUGGACCUCAGCCAAAGGAUCCUCUACAAGAGAGUGUUGCUGGAGAACUACCGCCAUUUCGUGUCACUGGAUGCUGACGCUGGGCUGAGUUCAGGAGUGACUGAUCUGCUUCAUUUCCACGGACAGGACUUUUAGCCUCCAAGCCUCACCUGGUCUCCUGGCUGGAGCAAGGGGACGAGCCCCAGGCGGCAGACAUCCACGGGACACGGGCUGCUGCGGGGGUGCGGACGGGUGACGGGAUAGAGAACAGGACGUUGACUUCAAAGCAGAAGCAUUGCCCCCAAGAGCUCCCGAGGACUGACCCUCGGGCCGGUAACGAGAGCCAGGUGGCCCGGCCAACAGGGGAGACCGCUAAUCGCACAGGGUUCCGGCAGGGAUGACCAGCCCGGGGAGAGAGGUCAAGGCGGCUCCUCCGGUGAGGGAAGAGCGAUGAGGCGGAGAAGACAGGACGGCGUGAGGCGGGAUUAGGGUCUCAGGCCGCGGGGUGCGCCGGGCGCCGACAAGCGGCACCUGUGUCCGCGGUGUGGGAAAUCCUUCAGUCGCGGCCCCAACCUACUCAAGCACCGGUGCACCCACAGCGGCCACGAGCCCUACACGUGCGGCUAGUGUCUCAAGGCCUUCAAGGGAGCGUCCCAGCUCAUUCACCGCCAGCGCGUCCACAGCGGGGAGAAGCCGUUCGCGUGCGGCGAGUGCGGGAAGGCCUUCGGAGGCGCUCCCCCCUCUUCAAGCGCCGGGCGACUUGCGGCGAGGGGCGGCCCUGCGGGUGUCCGCACUGCGGGAGGGUGUUCCGGAGCCGCUCGUCCGUCCCUCCCGGAGCCCCGGCGCGCCCCGGGCGGCCAGCGUGGCCUAGCCUGUGAGGGGGCAGUGUGGCGCGGCGGCCCCCGCGGCAGCCGCGGGGGUGGGAAGCCCUCGGAGAAGAGCGACGGGGGAAAGGCGCCGGCCUGUUUGGGUGCGAGGGCCAGAAAGUCCGGGGACACCCGCGAAUGCGCGGCCACCGGCAGUACAGCCUGUUCGCCUGGGAGAGGGCCCGCUUUAAAGCCUGGGGCCUCCCGCUCCCCUGCCUUUGAUCGCUGAGGACACGACUGAAGCACGGAGACCUCAGAACAGAUCCAUGUUCUGUGCUGGAACUGCACAGAUGCCCCUACCCCACGCGGGUCAGCGCUGCGCUCCAGCGGGGCCCUGUCGUGGGCACAGCCGCCUCCGGUGAGGGACGAGCGGUCUGUCUCGUGUCGUGGGACCAUCCGCUUCGCUCCAAGACUUCUUGGUGUUUCCAGGUAAAAGCACUAAAAGCACUUUAAUCCUUUCAGAGCUCAUCAAGCGGGGGGGGGGGGGGAGCCUGACGGAAUUCUACAACUAGACUGUGGCCAGCCCGUGACAUCACCUCAAAUGCAUCAAGAAACUGUCCGAAAACGGCCUUGGGCGAACACAUUCGUGGACAGCUCACGCCCAGGUGUCAGGCUGCGGGAAGCGAUGUCUCCUCUCUAAGCCCGCAGCUCCAUGGGAGGAAACGGGACACUCUGCCAUCAUGCUGACUGGUGGCCGGCUCUUUUUCCGGGCCCUCUGUCCCCGUGCCAGAGAGGCGCAGCCUUCUCCUUUGAGAAGCAGCCCCCGGGGCCCAUCUUCUCGGAGCCCUGGGGCGGGGCAGGGGAGUCAGGGGACACUCUGGUCCCUCGCAGGAGCGGGCUCCGGGCAAGACCCCGCACGAGCUGUCCUGCUGCUAUCCGUCUCCUCCCGCCUGGUGCCCCGGGCUCACCCUACUUACUGCCGUCUGCCUCCCACACCCCAGCAGCACAGACCAGCCUGGCCUCUCUGCCCCUCCUCCCCACCCUCAGUGCCUAAAGCUUCACACUUAGCUGCUCUCCCUCAAGUGGCCACCUCUUGUGGCUGGUGCCGAUCAGGAACAAAACGAGACGGGCUACGAAUUUGCACACAGCAUGCCCAGUGAUGGCUCUCUCACCAGACCUUUCGUAUGAUAUUUCUUACAAUACUGCACGUUCACUUGCUUUCAGCAUUUUUGUAUUCAGGAGUAACGUAAGCUAGAGAUUUCGGCCAUAUAAGGAAGGGUGUUGGUGAAUCGCUCCUGAAAUAAGAAUCCCGCCAACCCUGUGAGACCUCAGGCAGGAGAAAGAGACACCCGAUGGGUGCGAUGGGUGCGGUGGUGAGCCUGGCCCCUCUUCUCCCUCCUCCCCCUGAGCCCCACGGAAACAGGGCGGCCCCUUCAAAUGGCACUUUCCUGCAGCCUCCUGCUGGCCAGGGGGUGGCGGCUGCUGGCAGGCUCUGCCCUGUUCUGUCCUCACCGUCCCCAGAGCCGGGUUCAGGAGUUCGGCCCCUGGGUGCUCUCAGCCCAGCGUCCUGGUUGGCUUGCCUCCUCCUUCCAGCCCCCUCCACUGCCGGGACCUCUGGCGGGCAACUGGUAGGUAUGCUGAGCACCCCCUGUGGGCCUCUGAGGAUCCUGUGCGCCUUCCCUGCCACACAGUGAGAGGCUCAAAGCACCCUCAGGACAGUGUGGGGAAGAUCUGGAAAUACAGGAUUUCUUCCGAGCAUGCUUCUUGGAGCUCCAGUCACUAGGACGACUCCAGGAGCAAGAGAUACAGAUAGAUAGAAACACAUUGACAUAGAAGUUUUAUAUAGCUAUAUUAGAAUGAUUUUUAGACACGACUUACAGGAAGUUCUAGAGUUCUUGCAACUUGCUUUUAUCUCAGAGCCCCUUUCACAGGGUCUGUGUCCCCUUGUCCUUCGAUUGCCUUCUGCUCUUUGUGUCACAUUCAUCUUUGUCGGCACCUCAGAAACAUGAAGUAUUAAGGCCACUGUCUUUGGAGUCCACGGACAGGACGUGUGGAAGCACGUGUUUUUAUGAGGCGCGAUCUUUGCCAGGGCUGGGGUGGGUGGAUUCAGGAAGCCAAUCCCAGUGCAGAACAAGAGACAGUGGCAGGAGGCAUUGGGAUGACAACUGCCACGUGGUGGUGGGAACUAGAAAGAGAUCAGAUCCCGGGGCUCUGAUGUCUGUUUCCAUCACUGUAGUAAGUGAGCCGUCUCAGCUCUGCAGGCCAGUCAGUAACCGGCUUCACUAAAGAAGAGUCAUAGCCCCCGUGGAAUGUCAUCCCAUGGGUUCUACUGGAUGAGCCACCUUGAUUUUGUGGUUUUCUUUCUAAUGUGCUCUGAAAUUGGGCUCCCACACAACUGGACGCAAAAGCUCACGCUACUGGAGGACAUCCUGCCGGCUUUACAGUCCCUUCCCCAAGAACUUCCCUGGACGUCGGCCCCGUCGCGCUUCUCGACUGGUGUGCUUCAGGGACGGCCCCGUAAGACACGGUGCCAGCGCACAGUGUGUCUGCCGUUGAGACCACUCGCCCUGUGAAACUGUGCAGACUUUCCAAGAGCCGUUUAAAUGCUGUGGCGGUGCCUCCACGUAACUGGUGAAUUGCCUCGACCGCAUUCAUUUACUUCGGGCGCGAACAAAUGAGGGUCUAAGAGUGCUGGCCUUAAAGGAGCCCUCUCGUGCUGUAAAGUAACCAGAUGGCAGUUGGGCUAAAGGUCCCAGGAAAAACUCUAAGUGUGGAAUCGUGGGGGAAAGCCAAGACACUACGUUGGCGUGAAGGGAAGGCAGAAACCCUGGAGGGCGAGACACAUGGGCAUCAAGAGCUGCCACCCCCGGCCGGUGGGACACCGUGACUCAGAUCAGGAAGGGCAGAGUGGCGCAUCCGUCCCCCGAGAGACCCAGCUGUGUCUUCCUCCCUGUUGCUUCUUCAGGCAACAUGGCGGCACGCACACUCACUCGGGUGGGUGCCCCGUCCAGCCCCGUGCGGGCCUGUAUAGAAGGUGGCUCCACCUUCACCCUUCCGUGGUUUGCUUCGUGGCCUCCCGCUGUGGGGGGACUCCAGGGUGGACACCUGUCUGUACUAUAGGCCCUGCAACCUCUCCAUCUCCGUCUUCCCCCAGCCAUGUUUGAGGUCCUCGGCCCUUUCCUCUGUCCUUUAUCUCUGAUGGUCAUUGAGCCACCAGAUCCCGUCCGUCCUCGAUUAUGGUUGCCCCAGCUGCGCCUGCCUGCGUGCGGCCGUGUUUGAGUUGCAAGGGCGGUCCUGCAGUUGUCACCUGACUGACGGCAGCAUCCUUGUCUGGGGCUUUACGUAGGCCCGGGAACAUAGAUCUCCGCAAAACGGGCCGUGUCUACAACCUUGCUCGAAUUGUAGCUCGCGAGACUAGCUCUGCUUUGCGAAGCUGGCAGGUGCUCCAAACAAAGAGGGAAGGCUGUGUUCCCUGUGACUGUGUGGCUAUAAUCCCAGACUUGCCCCCCAAGGGAGGGAAAAACAGGCCUGGGAAGGGGGCUCUCAGGAUUGUGUUGCCAUUGUCGCCAAACAUCCUUAGCUUCUACGUGUUUGCUUUGCUCUCGCUCCCGAGGUUGGUUCUGCUGGUGUUACGGCAGCAGGGGCGCAGCGGGAUGCCUACGGCACGGCUGAUUCUCCGUGAACGUCUCAGGACGGGCCAGGACCUUCACUCCUUCCCUCAGCCGGAGGAGCACAGCAGGCUUUCAGGGCCAGACACACUGAAUGACUGAAGACCCAGACACGCGGAGAAAAUGGCCGCAUAAGGAUGGAGGUAGAGACUGGAGUGACACGGCCACAAGCCAAAGAAUUUCUGGGGCCUCCGGCAGCUGGAAGAGGUGAGGACUGAUCCUCCUCUAGAGCCUCUGGAGGGUAUGCAGUCCUGCUGACCCCUUCCUUUCUGCCGGUCCUGCCUGAGCGCCCUCCCACGUGGCUGCUGCCGAGACGCAGGUUGUGAUAAAGGGGAAGAGAGCCUGCGUACUUUCAGUCAACAGAUCGACACUGAGGCCACGGGCACUUGCCAUUGGAUUUAGGACCUGGGCAGGUAAGUCUGGCUGAUCACAUCUCAAGAUCAUCUCAGAUGUAACUGUAUCUGCAAAGACCAAAUAAGGUCAUAUUCACAGGGUCCAGGGAUUAGGACGCGGACGGACCUUGCGCAUGGCCCCCAUUCGACCCGCCACAGAUGGGAACGCGCGUGUCGUGUUGUUCCGUGUGGCUGGAGCUCAAGGAGCCGGAAGAAAGGAUGACGGAGGCCGCGCGAAGAGUACGUGCUCAACACGUAAUCACCUUCCGGCCACGCUGCGCUGUCGCCAUUUACAGAUGAAGCUGAGGCCAACCUGUUAGGUGACCCCAGCUGGUCACAGACUUGGGGAACAGGGAGCAGAGGGGCAGGACCCGGCACCCAGGCCCUGCCCCUGCACAGCCCACGCCGGGUCCUUUCUCACCGCCAUCCUGGGGCCCAGACCAGAGUAGGCACAUGGCGGGGGGGGGGGGGGGGGAAGAGGUCAAUGCCUCGUUGCUCUUUGUCGGUGAGCAGGCUCUCCAGGUUCUCAACCUCUCAGGCACCGGAGGGCAAGGACGGUGCUCCAUGUACCCCAGUUGUCGGGGUCUGAGAAUAGGUUUCUAGCCGUCAACGUUUUCUGAAGUGGCCGGAAAGUCUGCGCCCAGCCCCGUACCAGCCGGCCUCCUCCUGCCCUCCUGCCGGGUGGGCCACCAGCCCUUCCCUGCCGCCAUCACACCCGUCAUCCUGCGCCAGCGGCCCCGCGCUUCCUGCCUUCUCUUCCCGGCCCAUGUGUCAGGCCCAGGGCAGCCAAACAAGCGCUUCCCCAGACUCCUAGUUUGGCCAGGUUGGUGGAGGUGAGAAGAGGCAGGGAGCCAGUAGGGGAGCUUGCUGGGGAGGGGACAACCCACCUAGGCAUUUGAGAGGCCACGCGCCAAGUGUGCGGGCAAGCUGACCCUGGCACUCCGGGCCUGCGGUCUACACCUUGGGGCUGCGCCCGGGGCGCCGCCUCGCUCAGCCUGCGCCGCUGGAAAGGCCAGUCAAAUGCAAAUGUGGCAUGAGAUUUCCCCGUCGGGAGACCUUUCUCUUGUCCCUUCCUCAGAGCACCUGGGUGAGAACCCUAAAUAAGCCUCUGGCCAGCCUUUCGGCCCAGGAAGGUUCUUCUUAAGGGCCCCUUUGAAAUGCAAACCCCGAGGAGAGUAGGCCCCUAGCGCCGGCUGCACUGAGAAGGCUGUCUUUGUCCUUAGGAUAAAGGGAAUGCGAGGGCACAGAAGGCCCCCCUGACUACCAGGUGAACUGGCCGCCAGCUAGGACGGCGAUCUUGAGAAGUGUGCAUGGUUUUGUACACUAAUUAUACCCCAAUAAAGCUGGGAUGAAAAAUAAAAUUUCAUUUUAGGGGCAGCUGGGUGGCUCAGUCGGUUACGCAUCCGACUUCGGCUC